ensembl:lncRNA
GAUAUAUUAAUGAUAUAUUUCAUAUUAGUACAUAAGAACACUCUUUCAUUCUUUUAUUUUUAUUGUGGUAAAAUAUACACGACAUGAAAUUUUCCGUUUUCAAGUGUACAAUCCUGUGGCGCUACAUACAUUCACCUUGUUACCCAGCCAUCAGCACCAUUUAUCCCUAGAACUUUUCAUCAUUUCAGCUGAAGCGCCAUCCCCAUUAAAUACUAACUCCCUCUCCCCCGGCCCCUGGUUAAGCCCAUUCAGCUUUCUGUCUCUAAGAAUUUGACUAUUCCAGCUAUCUGAAAAUAAGUUGUUGUUGUUUAGUUGCUAAGUCAUGUCCAGCUGUUUGCAACCCCAUGGACUGUAGCCCACCAGGCUCCUCUGUCCAUGGGAUUUCCAAGACAAGAAUACUGGAGUGGGAUGUCAUUUCCUUUUCCAGGGGAUCUUCCCAACCCAGGGAUCAAAGCUUGUUUCCUGCCUGGCAGGUGUAUUCUUUACCACUGAGCCACCUGGGAGGCCCUCUGAAAGCAAUGCCCUGGAAGUGAAAGUGACAACAUAGCCCUUAGGAUUUUAUGUGCAGACAUGUCAAGAGAAGAGACUUGGAGACAGGCGGACACUGUCUGAGCAGGGCUGUGCGGUGAUGAACGCCACAUGCCUGUUUGCCCACAAGGUGCCCAGACACCUGGUUAACAUUAUUCUGGGUGUUUCUGGGAUGGAAUUUCUAGACGAGAUGAGUUUCUCAUUUGAGGUGGUGGACUUAGUAAGGCGGAUGACCCUCCGAAUACAGGGGCCUCAUCCGGGCUUCCAGAGGCCUGAGCAGACAGCAGGGCCGAGUGAGGAGAGCCCGCCCCUCUGUCAUCCAGCUGGACGGCUCUGCUCUCACCCGUGGACUCAGACUAGAGCUCGACCUUCAGGCCUCUGGGCCUCCAGCCUCCAGACUCACGCUGCAGCUCUUAGGCUCAUCAGCCUUUGUGGUGUGUGAAGCAACCCUUAUAACAUGUCCCUUUUCAGCAUCUCUGCAGGACCUCGACUCACAGCUACUGGGCCCUCUGUCAUCUCAGGCUGGGCCUUAGUCCCACCUGCCUGCACACCAUGUGGGGAGCUUUGAAAAUAGCAGUGCUUGGGUUCCUCAGUCAGAGACUCUGAUUUUUAAAUUAUUAAUUGGUUAUUUAUAGCUGUGCUGUGUCUUUGUUGCUUGUCUCUAGUUGUGGUGAGCAGGGGUUACUCUCUAGUUGCAGUGGGCAGGCUUCUCUUAUUGUGGAGUACAGGUUCUAGGCCCAGGGGCUUAACAGUUGUGGCACUCAGGCUUAGUUACUCGGCAUCAUGCAGGAUCUUCCUGGGUCAGGGAUCGAACCUGUGUCUCCUGCACUGGCAGAUUCUUUACCGUGGAGCCAGCCAGGGAAGCCCAGAGACUCUGAUCUAAUUGGCAUUUUUCCAAAAGUGCCUCAAGUGGUUCUGGUUGAGAAUAACUGAUGCAAAUUCUAAAUGUCCUAGGUGUCAGAAACCUCAUCUGUUGACUCGAAGACAGUACCGCCAUCUCAGGGAUGGCCUCAGGUCAGCCAAGCUCAUAGGAUGGAAGGGGACACUGGCCAUCUGGCCGGGCAGUCUCCUGCCGGACACUGACCCAGGGGGACGAGCUGGUUCUGUGGGGUGGCGUGGCUCUGUGAGCCUGCAGGCGGGAGGAAGGGGCUGAGGGGUCAGGUGGGG